rnacentral:misc_RNA from 1 species
AGACAUUUAAAAAAUACAAACAUGUGGUCUUUCAAAGCUUCUCAAGUAGUUGCACGGCGAUGCUUUUGUAAAAAUUCCAUUUCCAGAGCAGGAAUAGAUUUGAUGUCAUUAGAAAAAAAGCAAAGUCCAGGACGUGAAGAGUUUUAUUUCGAUAUUCUUUACGGUAUUCAUCCAAUCAGUUGCGCCCUCGAAGCAAAACGUCGGACCAUAGAGACCGUCUACUACCGAAGAGAUUUGCUGAACCACAGUGGACGAGUCAAGGAAAUACUGGAACGAUGUUGGGAGGAAAAUAUCAAAACUCUACCGAUACCGGCGAGCAAAAUUGACACAAUUGUACCUAAAGGAAAGCCACAUCAAGGGCUACUUGCAAAGACUACUCGUUUGUAUUACAUACCUACACCCUGCACUCAGUCUAUUGCUCAAUUAUCCUCUGAGAAAGAGGCUUCCAAACCUGUGUGGCUUCUGCUCAAUGAAAUACAGGAUCCCAUGAAUUUCGGCUCCAUAUUAAGGUCAGCUUACUUUAUGGGAUGUGAUAAGAUUUUCGUCACUUCUCACAAAAGCUGUUCAUUGACUCCAGUUGUAAGCAAAGCCAGUUCUGGGGUCAUGGAGCUGAUGCCUAUCCAUUCCAUCAUGAACACAACUGAAUUUUGCCAAGUUUUAAAAGAGUCCAAAUGGGAUGUUGUGGGAACAGGAUCUAAGACUGACGAAUCCAACGGGACGGUAUGUAAGCCUACUCCAGUUGGUUCAUUUCAACUGAGUAAUCCAACUCUCAUCAUAUUAGGAAACGAAGGGCGUGGGCUACCGGACGAACUUGUGGACCUCUGCACCCACCAAAUCUACGUUGAAUCUCGAAGCAACCUCAAUAAGAACGUGGAUUCGAUGAAUGUUUCCGCUGCUGCCGCAGUUAUCUUGCACAGCGUUCUCAAUAAUAGCAACAAUCGCAGAUAGUCAUCCGGAAUUCCUUACUUUGUCAUGCACGUAAUAAUGGCACUAGGUGAAAGCUGGGCCUUUAUAUUCAACCGGCUUUUCAGUUUCGUUUAGAGUAUAUGCUUCAGGCGACUUAGGCGUGUUUCCCUCACAAUGCAAAGGUCCCACUCAUUUCUUUCUUUAAGUCUUCAUUCUCUACGUGCGCGCUACCAGGGCUGGAUCGCAAGAUUGAUUAGUCUUAGUUCCAAGGACUUGCAAUUUUUUGAACGGAUUAUUCUAUAUACAUUGUGUUUAAACUGAAGGUGGCGAUAUGCAGAGGUUUUUUCGAUCAAGAAAGAGAAUUCUGGUGUUGACGAUGACCAUCUUGCUAAUUGUUUUCUUGAGUGAUUGUGCAGUGGACGCCGCGGUUGCAGGACAGCGGAUAUCGGAUAUUAAAGAGGACUCUGUAUUAUUAACAUCGCCAGCGCACAACAUCGUCAAGAGGCACUUUAAAUUUUACGAUGAUAAAAAGUAUGGAGAUGGUAGUUUAAAGAAAUUUUUCAUCAUGCUCAAGAUUAUUUUGACACUUUUUGGUAAACAUUAGCAUUUUCCUUUGUGUUCUUAAAUGUGUGUGUACUACUGUAUUGUGUAAGAUUAUGCGUCCAACACUAUUCACCCCAUUGCUCAGGCAUGUACUAAAAGAAUACUUUAGAGACAUUUAACUGCUGUUCCAUCAAUCAUUUAUGUAUUAAAAAUGGUCAAAUGAAGAAAAACACAAAACAACCCCCAAAUAUUGCAAUAAAACUGAGUCAAUAAGUUAAA